GGCCGAUUUUGUGAAUAGGAAAUCCUUUCACAGCAUUAAUGUUCAGAUGGUCUGCAAUGCUGACUGUGUGAUCAGCAAUGUUGUGGCAAAAUGGCCUGGCUCAGUCCAUGACUCCAGAAUCUUUCGGGCCUCUGAAAUCUAUCACAAGGUGAAUUCUCUGGUGUGUUGCUGGGAGACAGGGGGUAUGGCUGCCAGCCUUUUCUCCUGACACCUUUCACAGACCCCCAGGAAGCACAGCAGGCCUACAACCAUGCCCAUGCCAGGACCAGGGCCAGAG